UACUCAGAACGAACCAUCUUUUAGACUCCUAAUUUAACAUCGUUAAAAACAAGAGAACAAUAACACUCGACCAAUUCCUAAUUCUAAACAACCUAUGGUCUUCUAAUGAUCCGAGUGUAGUAUGUGUACCACCAAAGGCACGUUUCGACCAAGCCUCAUAUACUCCGGCAAUCACUAUCUCAAUUCCGGAUUGAAAAACGGGCCUUGACGACGGCAACGAGAUAGGUAUCAUAUACCCCGGCAAUCACUAUCUCAAUUCCGGAUUGAAAAACGGGCCUUGACGACGGCAACGAGAUAGGUACCACAAGUCGCAGCUUCAAAAGGAGCGGAGUUCCGUACCAUCGCAACAAUUACAUGAGCAUUAUUGGCACUGGGAAGUAAACACCACCUCGCCACAAUAACAAGGACCUUUCCUCCGGUUGACUAUACUGUCGUCGUCAAUCUUUGCAGUGCGUUCGUUCCACUACUCCUCCAAUAGUCUUACCAUCGCAUGGAAGUUGGAUCUAGGUAGAAGAGAUGUCUUCACCGAACAACACGUACGUCGUUGUCUUGAAGCUUUCGUCAGAGAUCUCAAAUAAAGAAAACCGGUGUUGGAGCCAGGUUUCACCCCGCUCUACACUGGUCUGAG
rnacentral:lncRNA from 1 species